AUCCCCUCGCUCUCCGUUGUCUGUCUCCAGAGACCUUCACCCGCUUCCUUCCUUGCAGCCCCGAAGAAGCGGGGUGUCCAGACCCACUUCUCCAGCUGGCCGACCCGGGGCGGCGGCCCGUGACUCAGGCCCCCUGAGGGACAUGGGGAGGAAGCGGCAGCUGCUUGGAGUCGGACCCGCCCUUCCCAUCUCUCGCCGCUCCUCCCCACGCUUUUUCUUUCCCUAGCCAGUCUUUGUUACCGUGGCAGAGAAGGCGGCUGCCAGGCCCUGGGGUCUGAGGCAAAAUGGCUUUGGGAGUUCGCUCUCCUCCCAGAGAGUUAUUCUGUCUCCCGUGGGUUCCCUGAUUUAUACGCGGAGAAACUAAUAUUUGGAGGGAACAGGACUGGACGACUGAGAGAUGGGGCGGGUCCAUGGGGUGUGGCCCCAGCCUUGCGAUCGUUUUAGAGUGCUCGGCUAUCACCGCAAAAACUAGGUCUCAUCUUCCUUCCCACAAUUGGUUCUGCGGCUUGAGAGUCAUGGACAGACAAGUGGAUAUCAUAUGUAUAAAAUUUUAUUUUUUCUGCAGCGCAUAUCCUUUGGGAGAGCAGGGAGCCCUGAGUCAACCCGAGUUAAAAUCGGGAGACGUCGCCUUAGGAGACCACACAGAGCUGUAGGGAAAGACCUAAGGAGAAACUAAGGCAGGAGUGGGGAGGAAGCACAGCCGCGGUACAAAAGAGCCACUACUUAUAAACUUUCAGAUAGGCCCUGACAUAGCUCCCUGAGGUGGAAACAUGGAAGGGAAUCCCUGAGGUGCAGAGCCAAUAACAGUGCCAGGGGAGUGAGUGCUCCCCAGUGUGAGCUGAGGUGCUCCCCUGUGUGAACUGACCCAGUGUGUGUGGAGGUCAUGCUCUAAGAGAAAAGGAGACUCAUGAGUUUUGUAACCAUUCUUGGCUGGUGAGAGGCGGAUCUUGAAGACCAGUGGAGGAAACUUUGAAUAAGAAUUCAGGAUCAAGAUUCAGGAACUGAGUUCUCCAGCAGGAGAGGGCACAGCCCCUUCAGGGCAUGACUUCCAACCUCCUCCGCGGUCUGAAGCAAACUCCGUCUGGAUACUAAGGGAUUUGAUUUUGAGGUGGGAAGUAAAUUCAGGGCUUAGAACUAGCUCCUCACUCUGCUUCCCCAUCCUGAGGUCUGGAGAGAAGGUGGAGUUUUCUUUGUAGCUGAGACCGAAGGUAGCGGAGAUCUUGCUGGUCAAGCCCAUGAGCCAAGCCCAGGUAGAGGGUAAAGAGAAGAGCCAGGAGGAGCCGAUCGGUGCCCAAGGUGGGGACCACCCACAGCACAGUCAGCAGCUCCACACACACUGGGUGUCGAAGGUGGGAAAAGAGUCUCAGAGCCCGAGGAGACUUCAGGGACAGGGGCUCGCCCAGUCCCAGCACAUGGUAAUAAACCUGGAAGAGAGAACAUCACGGAACUCAAAGUCAAGCCCUCUAUCUCAGUUGCCUCCGUCCUCUUCCCAGCAUCCACCCUCAAAGCCCAGGAGACCUACAGUCACUCUCCUUUAAGGCAAGCUGGAGGAAAACAGAGGCACUACAAAGCCGAGAGAAGUCAGAAGAGUUCAGGAGGGAGAGACUUGCAGACGCAGAUCUCACGUAGGGGUGUGGGAUUCUCACCUGCUUGAGGCCCAUCAGUUCAGCGUAGUCAAAGACCAGAAGGAUGCUAAAGAUGAGGAGCCAGGAAACAACGUGGAGCACAAAGCAGAGGAGAGGUACCCAGGUGGCCCAUGGUUCAGCCCGAGCCUCCCAUAACACUGGGCCUCUGGGUGUAGUCUCCCAGUACCGCAUCACCAACUGGGGAAAGAUGAGAGACUGGGCACACCAGUGGUCUCCCUUGCCCCACAAUAACCUACGAGGACUCUUUCCGACAGGUAUAAACAGUAAAUAUUUACCAUGUGGAGGGUUCUGGGAGGGGUACCAAGGACAUGAAGAUGGCCCAUCCCUACACAGGAUUUUUUGGAGACUGGACGGGAUGGGGGCUGGUGGAUAAUAAUCACUCAACUAGCCUAUGCCAAACAUCCAUGAGAAUACCAACUGGAAGACAAGUGCUAUUGUGAGGCCUAGGGAGGUUGUAGGAUAAGAACCCGGGAGGAAUUCAGAGCUGAAGCAAUAAAACAUGAACAAUGUUGC
rnacentral:lncRNA from 1 species